rnacentral:rRNA from 1 species
AACGAACGCUGGCGGCAUGCCUAACACAUGCAAGUCGAACGAGACCUUCGGGUCUAGUGGCGCACGGGUUCGUAACGCGUGGGAACCUGCCCUUAGGUUCGGAAUAACUCCCCGAAAGGGGUGCUAAUACCGGAUAAUGUCUUCGGACCAAAGAUUUAUCGCCUUUGGUUGGGCCCGCGUUGGAUUAGCUAGUUGGUAGGGUAAAAGCCUACCAAGGCGACGAUCCAUAGCUGGUCUGAGAGGAUGAUCAGCCACACUGGGACUGAGACGCGGCCCAGACUCCUACGGGAGGCAGCAGUGGGGAAUAUUGGACAGUGGGCGAAAGCCUGAUGCAGCAAUGCCGCGUGAGUGAUGAAGGCCUUAGGGUUGUAAAGCUCUUUUACCCGGGAUGAUAAUGACAGUACCGGGAGAAUAAGCUCCGGCUAACUCCGUG